GAUGAAGAACGUAGCGAAAUGCGAUAAGUAAUGUGAAUUGCAGAAUUCAGUGAAUCAUCGAAUUUUUGAACGCACAUUGCGCCCCUUGGUAUUCCGAGGGGCAUGCCUGUUCGAGCGUCAUUAUAACCCCUCAAGCUCAGCUUGGUGUUGGGGCCUGCUGCACUGGCAGCCCUUAAAAUCAGUGGCGGCGCCAUCUGGCUCUAAGCGUAGUAAUUCUUCUCGCUAUGGACUCCUGGUGGAUGCUUGCCAUCAACCCCCAAUUUUUCUAUGGUUGACCUCGGAUCAGGUAGGGAUACCCGCUGAACUUAAGCAUAUCAAUAAGCGGAGGA
rnacentral:misc_RNA from 1 species